ACAUGGCCGCCGCGCCACCAUUUUCGAACUCGAAAGGUAGCGAGGACGACGCGUUGCUUUUUCCUCCAAUCGAACCGGGCGGUGAAAAAUUACUUCCAAUAGUUUCCAGUCAUUUUUCGGUGUGCAAAUGUCGCUCGAAUCGAUCGCAAGACCGAUCCGGUGCUAGAUGCAGCUUGAAACAGCAAAUGUUUAUGGUGUGUUUUGUUUCAAUAUUCGUCCAGAGCGUACCCAAGGACUCGGGGACCACUGUAUGAUCGGUAGAAAAGCAACACGUCAUAGCAACCAAGUGUGUCGUGUGUGUGUCGGGAGUGCGUUUACGUGCGGGAAAGUGUGAAGCAGUGUGUGAAUGAGUAGUGCAUGCGAAAACCACGACGUGUGUGCGUGUACUCACAAGUUUUGCUCUUGAGCAACAGAUCCUUGGUUUAGACACACCAAGAACUACUAAAAUUUCCGGCAGUCUUGGUGUUUUUUCUUCUUCCUCUCUCCUGUGGACAUUCUUCAAACAUUAGUCCGCAGUGAGUGCGUGCGUGUUAAGGGUGUGUUGCAGAACGAAAAAAAAAACGGAGAACAAAGAGUGUGGAGAGACAAUAGGAAAAGGAUUGAAUAUCCUGUGUUCUGUGUUGUGUGUUAGUGAACGGGAAGAAGGACGGACGGGAAGCGAUUGGUUCGGUGGUUCGCACGCGGCGGAACACGGAAGUAAACAAGCGCACAAACCGAGCCGAACGUCUGGCCGGGCAGAACGGUGGUUGUAACAACAAUGAUGCCGAAACGAUCACGUCUGGGUGACGUCCGCGGGCCAAUUUCGAACGGACCGAUGCAAUCGCGCCCACUGGUCGCCCUGCUCGAUGGGCGCGACUGUUCGAUUGAGAUGCCCAUACUGAAGGAUGUGGCCACGGUUGCAUUCUGCGAUGCACAGAGCACAUCAGAGAUUCAUGAAAAAGUAUUAAACGAAGCCGUCGGCGCACUGAUGUGGCACACAAUCAUUCUGACGAAGGAGGAUCUGGAAAAGUUCAAAGCCCUCCGGAUAAUCGUCCGGAUUGGUAGCGGUGUCGAUAACAUUGACGUAAAGGCGGCCGGUGAGCUCGGUAUCGCCGUCUGCAAUGUGCCCGGAUACGGCGUCGAGGAGGUCGCCGAUACGACCAUGUGCUUGAUCCUGAAUCUUUACCGGCGGACCUACUGGUUGGCGAACAUGGUGCGAGAAGGCAAGAAAUUUACAGGCCCGGAACAGGUGCGAGAUGCAGCGCAGGGAUGUGCCAGAAUACGCGGUGAUACACUUGGGUUGGUUGGACUGGGACGCAUUGGCAGUGCGGUCGCGCUGCGAGCAAAAGUAUUCGGCUUCAACGUGAGCUUCUACGAUCCGUACCUGCCGGACGGUAUCGAGAAAUCGCUCGGACUCAACCGCGUCUACACACUGCAAGAACUGCUGUUCCACUCCGAUUGCGUCUCGCUGCACUGUACAUUAAAUGAACAUAAUCAUCACCUUAUCAAUGAGUUUACGAUUAAACAGAUGAGACCCGGUGCAUUCCUGGUAAAUACGGCACGCGGUGGCCUGGUGGAUGACGAGGCGCUAGCCGUCGCACUGAAGCAAGGUCGAAUCCGGGCGGCAGCACUAGACGUUCAUGAGAAUGAGCCAUACAAUGUAUUUCAGGGUGCCCUGAAAGAUGCCCCCAACCUGCUCUGUACGCCACACGCUGCCUUCUACAGCGAAGCGGCCACGACGGAACUGCGCGAGAUGGCGGCGAGCGAAAUCCGACGGGCAAUCAUUGGCAAUAUACCGGAAUGUCUCCGGAACUGCGUAAACAAGGAAUACUUCCUGCGUUCGUCGACGGGCGGUGGAGCCGGCGGAUACUCAGAAGCUGGUAUAAAUGGCGGCUAUUAUUCAGGUGGAUUACAGCAAGCCCAUAGUACAACACCGCUCGAGGCACCACACAGUGCAGGAUCGCAUGCGCCACCCAGCGGCGGCGGUCCCCCGCCACCGUCCGUUGCCGUAAUACCGCCUGUUUCCGCUGUUACAGCGCCACCACCACAAGCCUCUUAGUGCCCCAGAUCCAAGUAAUCAUCAUUCGGUUAAGCCGGAACCAUCAGAAGUACAUUAGUUUUUAUCGUAAUGAAAAUAAUAUUAUAUAUAUAUAUGCUGCUACUACCUUUACGAUUGUAACGACAAAAAGAAAAACGAAAAUGAAAAAUGUUCAUCUAAACUACACCAUGUUGUACACAGUCACACCACUGACGGAGAGCAUCAGAAAAGGAGAGCUAGGCACACAUAUAGACAUACACAGAUACAGCACUAGAGGUCCCAGACUUUCCCAGGGCGAAAUAUAUAUGUAAAACGAAAACAAAGUAAGCAAAUGUGACUACCACCACUCCUUUGUAAUGAACUGUAGAAAUGCAUAAGAAUUAUGAAGUAUAUAUGGAAGAAUUUUCUUAGAUCGACAAGCUCUUAUGCAAUGCAAAGCAAGAAAAACAAAAAAAAAACAAAACAAAACACAAAACACAGCAAGAAGGAGUGGAUAAUAAGUGCGCAAAAACGGUAAACUAAUAAAAUGCAAUAAAAAUACACACACAAACAUACAUACAAAAAGGAAGAAAAAACGAUAGCAAAACAAAAAAAAAUGCAACAGCCAGCAAUUUAAGGGAAACAUUGAGCAACAAUGCAACAAAAGUAACGAAAGGUACGAACAAGAGAGGUGUAUUAGUUUAUAUACUAUUAUUUGACAAAACAAAAUGUGAAUUGUAAUUCUAUAAAUAAAACAGUUGAGAUAUGAAAUGGAAAAAAGCGAAAUACAAGAAAAAACACGGAAAUGGGAAAAGCAAGCACUAGUUACGUGUAUAAGAAAGGAUUUUAUUUUUUAUUGUUUAAUGUGCUUUUUGUCCUUGACAAAAAGAAUAAGAGAGAGAGAGAGAGUGCGAGAGAGAGAGAAAUGAAAUACAUUGUGUACGAAAAAUUAGAAUAAAUUAAGAGUAGAAAGAGGAUAAUGCUAUUAAAAACAUACUACUAACUAACCUACAUACAUGCAAAUACAAAAACACAUACACACACACAUAUACACCAUCCACAAACAAGUAAUGGACAAAGGACACGUUCAUACAUAAGGGUAGAAGGUUUACUUGAAGAUAAAUCAAUUUACCACAAAAGGAAGAAGUAAGUUUGACAACAUUUCCCCCAAAACACGAACACACAGACACAAUUACUCACGCAUUACGCAUUCACACACAAAGUUCCAUAAAUAGAUAAAAAGAAAACAAAACACAUAAACACGUGCAUAUACACAUUCGGAGGUAGGUAAGGUAUGAAUAAUGGGAAAAAACAAACGAGAAUUAAUGUGUAAUUGAUAAUAAUAAUUGAUAAUAAUUAUAAAAGUGGUGAAACACUUGCGCUAUACAUUUAGUGCAAAGGGAAGAAGAUGCGAAAGAUAGUAAAGAAUGGGACAAGAAAGGGCAGAAGAGUGCAUACAGAUACACACAAACACACACACAAGCCCCUCAUCCCCUGCACGCAGGUGCAAGAGAAGCAGGCAAAGAAUAUGCAACCGUUUUUUCUGUCACAGUAGGCAAUGGUGUAACGAAGGAUAAACAAAACACUUUUGAGGAGUUUUGGCGAUAAAUAAGAAUGUAAAAAAAAACAACAACGUUUUCUUAUUUCUUUUUUUUUUUACUUUGGGGGCUGUACAACCGUUAUCGGAUUAGGCCUCUCCAGCAGUUUAGCUUUUUUUUUCUUAGGAGGCAGAUUGCCUGUGACUUUAAUUAUCCAAAACGGAAUGGACAGUUUUUGUUGCUGAUUGUGAUUUGAACCCAGAUGUGUAAUGGUAAAGACUCGCACACUCCCAACUGUUGCACUGCAAUCAAGCAAAAGAUAGUGCAAAUAAAUGCAGAAAAUGGUAGAGAAGUGUCAUGCCCUUACAAUAUGGAACAAUAUGCCAGAGAAGAAGGAAAAAAAACACUCUAAUAAGCAACACCACGUCUUUGAUGUGAAUGGCACAUUUAUUUGUUUAGCAUAAGUUUGAAUGAUUGUAAAUGAACAUUGUUAAACCGUAGAGGAGGGAAUGCGUAAAGUGUGUGACCGGAAGUAACACACACACACACCCAAGCUGACCACGGUGUCAUACACGGCGGUGUCUUAAUGAUAGCGAAUUGUCAAGCAAGUCAAAAGAUCAGCAAACAGCAACGACAUCCUGCAAGACCAAUGGUAAUUACGUAAAAAAAGUGAAAAGCAGAUUAGAAACAGUUAGUAGAAACGUCCCAAAUGUGCAUGUGCAUUCGCAUCUUUUGCGCAAAGAUUAAGCAUGUAAAGAGAGGGGAACUGUGCGGACCCACUAUGUUUUUUUUUGUCCCAACCAUGCAAUAAUCGAACCGACCCAUAGAUUGCACCACAUUCUCCCUACUUUUAUUGUCGGUAUUUCUAGAACAGUAACGUCUAGAAAUGAGAUAAAAAUUAUACUUCUUAUGGAAUUCCAAUGUUGCAAAUAUAGAUGGAGUAUUGCAUAAUGUACAGGCGCAAUUCUUUCACCUGGCAUCAAACGCGGGGUACAUGUACAUGUGCACACUUUAUCUUAUAGAGCAGGUCCGUUCUUGUCUGGCCUCUUUGAACAAAACAAGCAAACAUAUAUGUAUAUGUGUGUGUGUUUUUUAAAAGUUCUUUCCUUCUGCAAGAUUUGAGGAUAAUUGUGUACAAAACAAACAAACAAACAAAAAAAACCCCUAUACACAGCAUAUGCAAAUUGCGCCGGCACAACAGGGACAAUGCAACACGAUAAUAGUAGCUACUGUGGACAAUGCAAACAAUGUGCUUCGUUUUAGUUUGUUUUUUUUUUAAAGUUGUCAAUAAGAGUCUCUCGGUUCACAAAUGCAAAGGCUUCAUUUGUCAAAAAAAAUAAAAAAAAACAAUAAAAUUAAUUCCUUGACGAAAACACGUGCUAUGUGUGAAAUGGUCGUCUUUUCUUUCUGUUUACGUAUGGUGGGGGGCGAUAGUCAAUAAUGGGGCAAAACGAAACUAAGAGAUGAUUGCCGGAUGGAUUAAAUGCGGGCGAUGUGUGUUUGUGUGUGUACGUGCGCGGGUCAACUUCUUCAACGUUUCACUGCACUCGGUCCGAUCCGGAGAAGAGAUGAAAGAUGGCAUAGUGGUGGCGAUCAUCGGCGAACCUAAAGCAACAUGGAGCAUGGAACAACCGAAUGGGUGUGAUCGAACAUGUGACCGAUCGGUCGAACAUGUAACCGAAUUACGUCGCCAACAGCAGCACAGUAGAUUGCUGCGAAACUCUUAGCGGGAACUACUUGAAUGAACUGAAUGAAUGAGAAAAACAAAAACCAGUAACAUGCAAAAAGUGGAAAAAAAGCAAAAGUUAAGACACACAAAGCCGCACACAAAACGCGCACACACGCAUUCACAAACCAACAAUUGUAAGGGAUCUGCUAGAACAAAAUGGACGCCGCAUAAGAAAGAGUAUUGUAAGAAAAUCAGCAUAACUAACUCAGCUCUAACCGAGAAAAGGGACAUGGAGAAAAGAAAGAUAGAGAGAGAGAAAGAGAGGAGAGAGAGAGAGAAAAUUUGAUUCGUAAAAAAAGGUAAAAGUACGGUUAGCUUUGUAGGAAAGGUAAGCGAAAUUUGGUAAAAAGAAAAUCUGUGUUUGAACUGUAAGAGACAAAAACAUACUAAAAUAUAAGAAGGCAACAAAAAGAAAAACACACAAACAGAUUAAGUGAAACGCGUUCGAAGUGUAGAGAAGAAACUUAAAGCAAAAAAAAAAAAAGAAAACAUUCACAGUGCAGAAUUGCAACAAGCAAAAGGUAAAAACAAAACAAGAGAAGCACUAAAGGAUGUAAUGAUGGAGUAAAAAAUGACGACGAAUGAUAAACCUGAAAUAAAUAAACGAAAACGUAACUGUC